CCUACGGGUGGCAGCAGUAGGGAAUAUUGCACAAUGGGGGAAACCCUGAUGCAGCGACGCCGCGUGAAGGAAGAAGUAUUUCGGUAUGUAAACUUCUAUCAGCAGGGAAGAAAAUGACGGUACCUGACUAAGAAGCCCCGGCUAACUACGUGCCAGCAGCCGCGGUAAUACGUAGGGGGCAAGCGUUAGCCGGAUUUACUGGGUGGAAAGGGAGCGUAGACGGUGCAGCAAGUCUGAUGUGAAAGGUCGGGGCCCAACCCCGGGACUGCAUUGGAAACUGUUGAACUGGAGUACAGGAGAGGGAAGCGGAAUGCCUAGUGUAGCGGUGAAAUGCGUAGAUAUUAGGAGGAACACCAGUGGCGAAGGCGGCUUACUGGACUGUAACUGACGUUGAGGCUCGAAAGCGUGGGGAGCAAACAGGAUUAGAUACCCUUGUAGUC
rnacentral:rRNA from 1 species